rnacentral:lncRNA from 1 species
AUAGAAGGUACAUAAAUAAAUGGGUGUGGCUGUGUUCCAAUAAAACUGUAUUUACAAAAAUAGGUGGCAGACUGGAUUUGGCCUAUGGGUCAUAGUUUGCCCACUCUUGAUCUAAUCUAUAAACCAUGAUUUAUGAGAUUGUCUACUCUGGCUGUGAAGAACAGACACUAUUACUGGCUCUGGAAGACAGAGAUGAAGAAAAGAAGGAAGUGGAGGCAAUGAGGAAAGGAGGGAAGAAGGAAGGAAGGAAAUCAUGCUUGAAAGAAGUUGUGGAACAUGUCAAGUUUUUUUCCGGAUGUGGCGGAGAUUAUGCAGCUACAAUGAAGCCAGAUUAAGAUUUCAGGAAAAUGGACAGAUCUCUACAAUGUUCUCCAAAGAGAUUGUUUUGCUUGCCAAUAAAAAGAGACACCUGGGAGCACCAUACUCUCUCCUGUUCCUCUGGGUAUCAUAUUUCCUUAUGACACCUGAAACUCUGAUGCCUUCUGGGUCCAUGAAAGCAGUGAGAUGAGCACAGGAAACCACGCUGAGGAUGGUUGAGCAAAAAGGUGACAUUGAGCCACUGGAUUAACCUGCCCAGAAACAGGAUAUCUUCAGAUUUCUUGUUAAGUAAGAAAAUGUAAUUUUGUUGAUUCUAAGUUACACUUUCUUUUGUUAGUUCAACAUCUCUGAAAUCAGAACAUAUUUUGCCAUGGUAAUAUCUUACCAUCACUGUAAUAUGUAAUAUCCUUACAUAGGUGUCAUUGCCUAUGCAUGUGUCAACUUGAUUGCUAUUCUCUGUGAUAUGACUGACAACUGCAGCCCUUUGACAGUUCAGUCGACAAACCAUUGAAGAUUAUUAGGGUAAGAAAUACUGCUUUCUGUCUGAAAACUUUCCAAUGACAUCUUCUGAAAAGACAAAGAAAGUAUCAGCAUCAAAAUUUGCGUAAUAGGCCGGGCGCGGUGGCUCACGCCUGUAAUCCCAGCACUUUGGGAGGCCGAGGCGGGCGGAUCACGAGGUCAGGAGAUCGAGACCAU